CUAAAACCAAUGAACAACUGCAGAGAGUGGAGACCCGGCAAAGCAAACAAAUGAAUACUGCUAGGGCUCACCGUCCAUUGUGGAGGUGAAGACCAGAUGACAGCUGCUGGAUUGACCUUGAUGUGCCAUGUCCUUGUGUGGAUGAAGGACCUACAUCACAGGGAUGGCCAGCAGCAGAUGUAACACAUGUGUCCAGGAAUGGGCUAAAUAACCUACAUUGAGAGAUCUCAGCCGCUCAGCAGAAUGCGGGAGAGCCGAGUGCUGAUGGGCUAGAGGGUCCCAGGAGUCGUUGUGCAGCAGGGGCAGUGUCUGCAGUCACCGUGGGCCACACCCUGCGCUCCAGACAACCCAGGCUGGUUCCCUGGAUUGCAAAGGGGACUUUAGCUUGUGGAAUUGGUGCUGGUGCCUGUGUCCACAACUGGGAUGUUUUCAUGAGGCUACUCCAUGGUCCAUGAAGCGCCAUGCAAGCAAGGGGAGAAUGGACAUUAGAGAGCGAGGCCGGUGCCUUUGCAGGGCUGCUGCAGUCGAUCAUCCACAGCCAGAAGAGAGACGAUGGGAAACUCGCUUCAAUGGCUGGCCACAGCCACAGCAGCUGUCUCAUAAAGCUCUGCUCAUGCUCCAGCCAACAGAGGCAGGACGAAGAGCCACACUGGGAGAGCCUGAUUUGCAAUUAGCAAGACGCGGUUUUUUCAGUGGAUUAUGCUGCCCUGACCGUCUAUUUCCUGCAAUGUGCACAUCCAGCCUCCCUGGCUGACCUCAGUGGGAGCUAGGUUCUCCAUGCCCAUAGGACAGGGCUGGCCUUACCAUGAGGCGAACUGAGGCGGCUGCCACAGGUGCCAGACUGUGGACGGGCACCACUAGGAUCCAGAGUGUAGAAAAAUUGUCUGGUGCUGGUGCAUAUGUUUUCUCGCUGCUCGAGAUGCACAGAGAUGGUGGAGGGCUGUGCUGGAGGAAGGGGGCCCAAGAGACAUAACAGGCAGGCAGGAGAAAAGG